ensembl:lncRNA
GUAGAGGGCAGGAUACUGGAGGCUGAGGAGGAAAGGAGAGGAGAGGAGAGGAGAGGAGAGGAGAGGAGAGGAGAGGAGAGGAGAGGAGAGGAGAGGAGAAUCCCAGGUAGAGGGCAGGAUACUGGAGGCUGAGGAGGAGAGGAGAGGAGAGGAGGAGAGCUCUGCUGCCAUCCCAGGUAGAGGGCAGGAUACUGGAUGCUUGCAUGAAGCAGGAAUAUGGUGCAAUGCUGUGUCCCAAAACUAGCUGGACCCCUGCCUGCUUCUCUAUCUGUGGUGUCAUUUACUGUAUGAAGCUUUGGUCUGCAUGUCACGGAGACACUCAUCCUAUAAUAGAGGUCAUGGAGACACUCAUCCCAUCAUAGAGGUCAUGGAGACACUCAUCCCAUAAUAGAGGUCACGGAGACACUCAUCCCAUAAUAAAGGUCACGGAGACACUCAUCCCAUAAUAAAGGUCACGGAGACACUCAUCCCAUAAUAAAGGUCACGG